rnacentral:rRNA from 1 species
ACCAACAGGGAUUGCCCUAGUAACGGCGAGUGAAGCGGCAACAGCUCAAAUUUGAAAUCUGGCGCAAGCCCGAGUUGUAAUUUGUAGAGGAUGCUUCUGGGUAGCGGCCGGUCUAAGUUCCUUGGAACAGGACGUCAUAGAGGGUGAGAAUCCCGUAUGUGACUGGCUUGCACCCUCCACGUAGCUCCUUCGACGAGUCGAGUUGUUUGGGAAUGCAGCUCUAAAUGGGAGGUAAAUUUCUUCUAAAGCUAAAUACCGGCCAGAGACCGAUAGCGCACAAGUAGAGUGAUCGAAAGAUGAAAAGCACUUUGGAAAGAGAGUUAAAAAGCACGUGAAAUUGUUGAAAGGGAAGCGCCCGCAACCAGACUUUGCGGCAGUGUUCGGCCGGUCUUCUGACCGGUUUACUCGCUGUCGUGAGGCCAUCAUCGUCUGGGACCGCUGGAUAAGACCUUAGGAAUGUGGCUCCCCUCGGGGAGUGUUAUAGCCUCUGGUGAUGCAGCGCGUCUCGGGCGAGGUCCGCGCUUCGGCAAGGAUGAUGGCGUAAUGGUUGUCGGCGGCCCGUCUUGAAACACGGACCAAGGAGUCUAACAUCUAUGCGAGUGUUCGGGUGUCAAACCCCUACGCGUAAUGAAAGUGAACGGAGGUGGGAACUUUUUGUGCACCAUCGACCGAUCCUGAUGUCCUCGGAUGGAUUUGAGUAAGAGCAUAGCUGUUGGGACCCGAAAGAUGGUGAACUAUGCCUGAAUAGGGUGAAGCCAGAGGAAACUCUGGUGGAGGCUCGCAGCGGUUCUGACGUGCAAAUCGAUCGUCAAAUUUGGGUAUAGGGGCGAAAGACUAAUCGAACCAUCU